UACGUAGGGUGCAAGCGUUGUCCGGAAUUAUUGGGCGUAAAGAGCUUGUAGGCGGUUUGUCGCGUCUGCUGUGAAAUUUCGGGGCUCAACCCCGAACUUGCAGUGGGUACGGGGCAGACUAGAGUGUGGUAGGGGAGACUGGAAUUCCUGGUGUAGCGGUGAAAUGCGCAGAUAUCAGGAGGAACACCGGUGGCGAAGGCGGGUCUCGUGGGCAGUAACUGACGCUGAGGAGCGAAAGCGUGGGGAGC
rnacentral:rRNA from 1 species